AGGAAGAGGCUGCAGCUACGGUGCCUUCAGAUGAUGUCGAGGAAGAAAUGCUUCAAUAUCCAUUUUACACUGAGGGUUCAAAACAGCUUUUGGAUGCUAGAAUCCAUAUUGCAAUGUAUUCUAUUCUAAGAGCUGCAUUGCAACUUCGGCUCUGUUUGGAUGGGGUGAGGUAAGCGUAAUUAAUUGGAGGGUAAGGGAGGGUAAGGAGGGGAAAAAUU
rnacentral:misc_RNA from 1 species